rnacentral:rRNA from 1 species
GCAACCUACCCUAAAGACGAGGAUAACCAUUGGAAACAGUGGCUAAGACUGGAUAGGAAGAUAAAAGGCAUCUUGUAUCUUUUAAAAGACCUAGUUAAUAGGUAUGCUUUAGGAGGGGCUUGCGCCAUAUUAGUUAGUUGGUAGGGUAAUGGCCUACCAAGACGAUGAUGUGUAGCUGGACUGAGAGGUUGAACAGCCACAUUGGGACUGAGACACGGCCCAAACUCCUACGGGAGGCAGCAGUAGGGAAUUUUCGGCAAUGGAGGAAACUCUGACCGAGCAACGCCGCGUGAAUGACGAAGUACUUCGGUAUGUAAAGUUCUUUUAUCGAGGAAGAAAAGCAAAUGGCGAACCAUUUGUUUGCCGGUACUUGAUGAAUAAGCCCCGGCUAAUUAUGUGCCAGCAGCCGCGGUAAGACAUAAGGGGCAAGUGUUAUCCGGAAUUAUUGGGCGUAAAGGGUGCGUAGGCGGUCUAGUAAGUCAGUGGUGUAAUGGCAACGCUUAACGUUGUCCGGCUAUUGAAACUGCUAAACUUGAGUUAGAUAGAGGCGAGUGGAAUUCCAUGUGUAGCGGUAAAAUGCGUAAAUAUAUGGAGGAACACCAGAGGCGUAGGCGGCUCGCUGGGUCUUAACUGACGCUGAGGCACGAAAGCGUGGGGAGCAAACAGGAUUAGAUACCCUGGUAGUCCACGCCGUAAACGAUGAGUACUAAGUGUCGGGUUAAACCGGUACUGAAGUUAACACAUUAAGUACUCCGCCUGAGUAGUACGUACGCAAGUAUGAAACUUAAAGGAAUUGACGGGACUCCGCACAAGCGGUGGAUCAUGUUGUUUAAUUCGAAGAUACCCGAAAAACCUUACCAGGUCUUGACAUGUUUUUGCAAAAUGAUAGUAAUAUCGUGGAGGUUACCAGAAACACAGGUGGUGCAUGGUUGUCGUCAGCUCGUGUCGUGAGAUGUUAGGUUAAGUCCUAAAACGAGCGAAACCCUUAUCGUUAGUUGCCAGCACGUUAUGGUGGGGACUUUAACGAGACUGCCAAUGAUAAAUUGGAGGAAGGUGAGGAUCACGUCAAAUCAGCAUGCCCCUUAUGACCUGGGCUACAAACGUGAUACAAUGGCUGUUACAAAGGGUAGCUGAAACGCAAGUUCUUGGCCAAUCCCCAAAAACAGUCCCAGUCCGGAUUGAAGUCUGCAACUCGACUUCAUGAAGUUGGAAUCGCUAGUAAUCGCGAAUCAGCAUGUCGCGGUGAAUACGUUCUCGGGGUUUGUACACACCGCCCGUCAAACCACGAAAGUUGGCAAUACCCCAAAACGGUAGCCUAACUCGUUUAUUCGAGAGGGCGCCGUCUAAGGUAGGGUCGAUGAUUGGGGUUAAGUCGUAACAAGGUAUCCCUACCGGAAGGUGGGGAUGGAUCACCUCCUUUCU